UUCCUUCCAGGCUGUGGUUGCGGGAGCGUGCGGACGUCCGUUUUGCGCAUCCCUAGUCCAGGACAGACGCGGUCAAAGGGAUCCACGUAAGCCGAUGCGUGCGCGCAAAGGCGAUCAUGGCGCGUCCUAGAGGUCAGUCGCACCGUCCGUCAUACACACUGAGGCAAUAGGUGCCUCGCGGGCGAGCGGGCUAGUCGUGAGGCCGUUGCGGCGGUUGAGCAAACGUCCCGGUGCGCAGGUGUGGGGUCAAAAACCAGGUCAGCUGGGGGAA
ncrna:Collinsella stercoris DSM 13279 raiA RNA